rnacentral:rRNA from 1 species
CCUACGGGAGGCUGCAGUGGGGAAUAUUGGGCAAUGGGCGCAAGCCUGACCCAGCAACGCCGCGUGAAGGAAGAAGGCUUUCGGGUUGUAAACUUCUUUUCUCAGGGACGAAGCAAGCGACGGUACCUGAGGAAUAAGCCACGGCUAACUACGUGCCAGCAGCCGCGGUAAUACGUAGGCGGCAAGCGUUAUCCGGAUUUACUGGGUGUAAAGGGCGUGUAGGCGGGAAAGCAAGUCAGUUGUGAAAACCAUGGGCUCAACCUGUGGCCUGCAUUUGAAACUGUUUUUCUGGAGUGCUGGAGAGGUAGACGGAAUUCCUGGUGUAGCGGUGAAAUGCGUAGAGAUUAGGAGGAACACCAGUGGCGAAGGCGGUCUGCUGGACAGCAACUGACGCUGAGGCGCGAAAGCGUGGGGAGCAAACAGGAUUAGAUACCCCAGUAGUC